ACCAGCCUGGCCAGGGUGAAACCCCUGUCUCUACUAAAACUACAAAAAAAAAAAAAAAAAAAGAAAAAUUAGCCUGGCGUGGUGGUGGGCACUUAUAAUCCCAGCUACUCAGGAGGCUGAGGCAACAGAAUCACUUGGACCCAGGAGGCAGAGGUUGCAGUGAGCCGAGGUCAUGCCACUGCACUCCAGCCUGGGUGACAGAGCUAGACUCCAUCUCCAAAAAAAAAAAAAAAAAAAAGGUUACUUGAAAACAAAAUCACUCAUAUUAACUUAAAGGAAAAUAUACAGCAUCUCCUAGGUGAUCACUAUUAUGUUAAAUGGGUAAAUGCUUUAUGUUUUUUUCACAACUGAAGCCAAUGCUGAAUGAAGAGCGUCUGUUGUUCUACAUUUUUCAAGGACUGGAAUGUUGGUGUGAUCGAGACAAGAUGGCUGGCUCACUGACAGUUUAGUGAUGUAAAAUCACCCUAUGGGAUCCAAAAGAAUUUGGAAUUCAAAUGGAGUUGUUUUCAGAGAGAGAAGAGGCAGAGAAAAGGAUAUCAGAAUAUUUUGAGUACUUCAGAGCUGUCAGGAUUUCUGAAGAGUGAAACUUGAGGUUAAGCUGCCAGAAACAAUGCCCAAAGCCAUGCUUGAAAACUGUUCUAAUGAAGAAGCCCCUACUUGUGUCAGUCACCACACACUCAAUGGACAGUUUGCACCAUUGCUGUUCUCCUGAGGAGAACUUGAUCUUGCUUUCACCAUUACUGCCAAGGCUGCCAAACAGAGAAGGCUUGGAAGUCCAGGACCAAGGGGCCUCAUCUGGUGUGAGACUUACUGCUGCAUCGUAACAUGGAGGAUGCCUUAUGUGGUGAGAAGGGUGAAAGCAGGUGAGUGCAUAUGAGACAGAGAAAAAGGGGGUCCAACUCCUGAGAUAAUGAGCCCAUUCACCUGAUAACAACCUUAAUCCAUUAUGAGGACAGAGCCUUCAUAACCUAAUCACCUCUUAAAGACCCCACCUCUUAAUAC